GCCUGCCCUCCAGGAGCUCAUAAUCUAGUGGGACAGUCAGAAAGGCAACUCAAUAGACUGUGAGCUCCUUGAGGGCAAGGA
rnacentral:pre_miRNA from 1 species